GACGAACGCUGGCGGCGUGCUUAACACAUGCAAGUCGAACGGAAAGGCCCUGCUUUUGUGGGGUGCUCGAGUGGCGAACGGGUGAGUAACACGUGAGUAACCUGCCCUUGACUUUGGGAUAACUUCAGGAAACUGGGGCUAAUACCGGAUAGGAGCUCCUGCUGCAUGGUGGGGGUUGGAAAGUUUCGGCGGUUGGGGCUGGACUCGCGGCUUAUCAGCUUGUUGGUGGGGUAGUGGCUUACCAAGGCUUUGACGGGUAGCCGGCCUGAGAGGGUGACCGGCCACAUUGGGACUGAGAUACGGCCCAGAAUCCUACGGGAGGCAGCAGUGGGGAAUAUUGCGCAAUGGGCGGAAGCCUGAUGCAGAAACGCCGCGUGCGGGAUGACGGCCUUCGGGUUGUAAACCGCUUUCGCCUGUGACGAAGCGUGAGUGACGGUAAUGGGUAAAGAAGCACCGGCUAACUACGUG
rnacentral:rRNA from 1 species